UACAGAGGGUGCGAGCGUUAAUCGGAAUUACUGGGCGUAAAGCGCGCGUAGGCGGCUUUGCAAGUCGGGUGUGAAAUCCCCAGGCUUAACCUGGGAACUGCAUUCGAGACUGCAUUGCUAGAGUAUGGGAGAGGGGAAGUGGAAUUUCAGGUGUAGCGGUGAAAUGCGUAGAUAUCUGAAGGAACAUCAGUGGCGAAAGCGACUUCCUGGACCAAUACUGACGCUCAUGUGCGAAAAGCGUGGGGAGC
rnacentral:rRNA from 1 species